AGGGGAGGGAGGAGAGCGAGAGAAAGGGAGCUGCUUGGAUCCCGUACUUCCCAGAGCCUGCCUGGAGCGCGCACUCAGCGGCUCUCCGGGUCCCAGUGUCCCAGCCGCGGCCCGCGCCCCGCACCGCCGCCUCCCUCGGUCUGGGCACCCCUCGCCCCCUCCCUCCGGCCCCCGCCAGGCUCAGGCAGCGGCCGCCCCCAGCCCCCGCUCGGCCACAUCCCCAACUCUCCGGGCUCCCUCCUGGGACGCGCGCCCUCGCCCCAUCCUUUCUUCCUUCCUUCCUUCCCUCGCGCCCGCCCUCCCUCUCCAGGUCUCCCUCCCGGGGCCCGAUUGUCUCCGUCCCCUGCCCAGCCGGCCCGCGCCGCGCCCUGCCCGGCGUCUCCCUCGCACUUCCUGGGUCGCCCGGCGCCGCAGUCUCGCCUGGCCCCGGGAGCCCGAGCCGCCGCUGCCCCCGGCUCCAGCCCCCGUAGCCCGCGGCGCCCGCCCGAGGGAGCCCCGGCGCCCGGGGAAGGGAAAAGUGGGCGAGCGCGCCCUCGCCCAGCCCCGCGCCCCAGCCCUGCCCGGCGAGGAAGGACCGGGAAGAUGAACAACGGCGGCAAAGCCGAGAAGGAGAACACCCCGAACGAGGCGAACCUUCAGGAGGAAGAGGUCCGGACCCUAUUUGUCAGUGGUCUCCCUCUGGAUAUCAAACCUCGGGAGCUCUAUCUGCUUUUCAGACCAUUUAAGGGCUACGAGGGUUCUCUUAUAAAGCUCACAUCUAAGCAGCCCGUAGGUUUUGUCAGUUUUGACAGUCGCUCAGAAGCAGAAGCUGCAAAGAAUGCUUUGAAUGGCAUCCGCUUCGAUCCUGAAAUUCCGCAAACACUACGACUAGAGUUUGCUAAGGCAAACACGAAGAUGGCCAAGAACAAACUAGUAGGGACUCCAAACCCCAGUACUCCUCUGCCCAACACUGUACCUCAGUUCAUUGCCAGAGAGCCAUAUGAGCUCACAGUGCCUGCACUUUACCCCAGUAGCCCUGAAGUGUGGGCCCCGUACCCUCUGUACCCAGCGGAGUUAGCGCCUGCUCUACCUCCUCCUGCUUUCACCUACCCCGCUUCACUGCAUGCCCAGGUUCCCAGCCCCCCACCUGCCAUGGGGCUGUGCCCCCAUCCCCUCCUUUACCACCUGGCUCAGGAAGGCAGCUCCAAGUCUGCCCUUUGCUUAGUGAGCAAGUGGACUCAGAUGCACAAAGCCAUAAGCCACGGAUGCGCUGGCUCCCUCCGUCCGAGGCUACUUCUCAGGGCUGGAAGUCCCGUCAGUUCUGCUGAAUACCACGUUCCAGGUGUGUGAUGGUGGCUGCAAUCUGUCUUGUGGGUAUUAAUGCAACCUUCAGUGGUGGCUGCUGUUCUCAAGCUGUUCUACAAAACUGGAGCGUGCUGGCUUGAAAACACCUUGCCCAGUUUUGGUCCCUUCAAGACUUUGCCACAGCCUCUAUCACACAUCUGUUUUUCUCGAAGAAACAAAUAUAAUAAAAAUGUUUUACUCUUUUACACUGUAUAAUUUUAAAAAAUAGUGUGUUAUUUGUGAACGCAUGGUCUGACAUUUCUGUACAGUUUGGAGAUAUUUUCAAACGAAACAUAAAAGAUAUCAACAAUAAAA